rnacentral:SRP_RNA from 16 species
UGGCACAAUUGACCGAAGAACUCGGCCAGGCGAUGAAGGCAGCAG